CUUGGAGGAGUUGAUCCUGGCUCAGGACGAACGCUGGCGGCGUGCCUAAUACAUGCAAGUCGAGCGGAGCACUUCGGUGCUUAGCGGCGGACGGGUGAGUAACACGUAGGCAACCUGCCUGUAAGAUCGGGAUAACUACCGGAAACGGUAGCUAAGACCGGAUAGCUGGUUUCGGUGCAUGCCGGAAUCAUGAAACACGGGGCAACCUGUGGCUUACAGAUGGGCCUGCGGCGCAUUAGCUAGUUGGCGGGGUAACGGCCCACCAAGGCGACGAUGCGUAGCCGACCUGAGAGGGUGAUCGGCCACACUGGGACUGAGACACGGCCCAGACUCCUACGGGAGGCAGCAGUAGGGAAUCUUCCGCAAUGGGCGCAAGCCUGACGGAGCAACGCCGCGUGAGUGAUGAAGGUUUUCGGAUCGUAAAGCUCUGUUGCCAGGGAAGAAUGUCGUGGAGAGUAACUGCUCUGCGAAUGACGGUACCGAGAAGAAAGCC
rnacentral:rRNA from 1 species